ACCUACUGUUUAAUUUUGAGGGUUCGUUUUUACGAAUACUCAAAAUUAGCACUUUUAGCAACAGAAUAAACUGAACGCAUGUGAAGUUUGUUUGUUGGCGACGUGCUUUAGCACUUUAAGCAACGGAAUUUAUUCGUUGGCGCUGUGCGUUAGCACUUUGAAAACUGCAUAUAUAUUUAGUGAUAUGACAUCUAAUUUGUAAUAUAUAAAGCUGAUAACUUUUUAAAAUUAUCGAAGUUGAUAGCUUCUAAUCUAUCAAACCUUUUUAACUGGUCAA
rnacentral:misc_RNA from 1 species